rnacentral:lncRNA from 1 species
UUUGACCCUCCAUAUGUAAAAUUAACUUUCGCAGGCUUCCUGGUCAUUAAAUAGUAAAAUAUAACAUUUUUGCACAUUUUUAACUUUAAUGCAAUUUAUGAAAAUAAUUUCCUUUUGAAUUUCAUGCUUUUUGAUGUCCGAUUCGUGGUUUCAGAUUUAUUUUGGUAUUUUGAUGCGAGCAAGUUCGUAUGAUAUUUUUAGAUUUGUGUGGAUGUUUGGUAUGGAGGCCCGAGGACUCGGGUGAGUUUUUGACAUAUUUCGGAAUUGUUUGAAUUCAUUUCAAGUUGUUGGUGUGCUUGUGCUCCAGUUAUCGCAAUUGCGAGCACCAACAUCGCAUUUGCGAUCAUGGCAGAGGGGUAUCUGGUAUCGCAUUUGCGUCACCAUGAUCACGUUUGCAAAAGCCAACUUGGGCUGGGUAAGGUCGCAUUUGCGGAAGGGGCUAACUUUGCAUUUGCGAGGUCUGUGUCGCAAUUGCGACAUUUCCCUAGGCUGUCAGGCGCCUCAAUUGUGAGUCGUUGUCCGCAUUUGCCAGUGUUCGCUAUUGCGAACCCAGAGUCGCAAUUAUUGUUAACACUUAAUUUGACCCUCCAUAUGUAAAAUUAACUUUCGCAGGCUUCCUGGUCAUUAAAUAGUAAAAUAUAACAUUUUUGCACAUUUUUAACUUUAAUGCAAUUUAUGAUAAUAAUUUCCUUUUGAAUUUCAUGCUUUUUUAGUCCGAUUCGUGGUUUCAGAUUUAUUUUGGUAUUUUGAUGCGAGCAAGUUCUUAUGAUAUUCUUAGAUUUGUGUGGAUGUUUGGUAUGGAGGCCCGAGGACUCGGGUGAGUUUCUGACGUAUUUCGGAUUGGUUUGAAUUCAUUUCAAGUUAUUUGUGUGUUGGUGCUCCAGUUAUCGCAAUUGCGAGCACCAGCAUCGCAAUUGCGAUCAUGGCAGAGGGGUGACUGGUAUCGCAUUUGCGUCACCAUGAUCACGAUUGCGAAAGCAAACUUGGACUGGGUAAGGUCGCAUUUGCGGAAGUGGUUAACUUCGCAUUUGCGAGGUCUGUGUCGCAAUUGCGACAUUCCCCUAGGCUGUCAGGCGCCUCAAUUGUGAGUCGUUGUCCGCAUUUGCGAGUGUUCGCAAUUGCGAAACCAGAGUCGCAAUUAUUGUUGACACUUAAUUUGACCCUCCGUAUGUAAAAUUAACUUUCGCAGACUUCCUGUUCAUUAAAUAGUAAAAUAUAACAUUUUUGCACAUUUUUAACUUUAAUGCAAUUUAUGAUAAUAGUUUCCUUUUGAAUUUUAUGCUUUUUGAUGUCCGCUUCGUGGUUUCACAUUUAUUUUGGUAUUUUAAUGCGAGCAAGUUCGUAUGAUAUUUUUAGACUUGUGUGGAUGUUUGGUAUGGAACCCCGAGGGCUCGGGUGAGUUUCUGACGUAUUUCGGAUUAAUUUGAAUUC